rnacentral:misc_RNA from 1 species
CUAUAAUGGCAUGGCGGCAAAAUUUUGUUCCAAUUUUAUAAAUCCAAAU